GAGCGGAGCCGCUGUUCUCAGCUGCAGUAGGAUCUGCCCCCGGCCCCGCUGGGAUCCAGGCUGCAGAAUGACGCCCACGUCUCGCUCCGGUUCAUCCCAUCCUCCUAUGGGACAGGGAAGGGAAAUGGCUGCAGAGGAGCCCGUUCAGGAACAGACCCAUGAGGUUAGAAGGUGGAAAUGCUCUGAUUUGUGGAAGUGCAAAGAACACACCUAGGUGGGGCUAGGUAAAGGGAGCAGAAUCCCAGGGCUGG